rnacentral:ncRNA from 1 species
ACCGGUAUCGAAAGGUAUCGCUGAGCGUGCAGAAGUCAGCAGAGGCCGUAGUAGCUGAGAAAGCAGUGAAGGGC